UGAUGUGGAGGGACGGUCCGCCUCACGGUGAGCACUGAUUCUUCACGUCUUCCUCUCGUAGUCUUUUGGCGCACUUAGUUGGGUGCCUUUAGAAUAUGGGACCUUUACUUUGAAAAAAUUAGAGUGUUCAAAGCAGGCAAUCGCUUGAAUACAUUAGCAUGGAAUAAUAGAAUAGGACUUUGGUUCUAUUUUGUUGGUUUCUAGGACCGAAGUAAUGAUUAAUAGGGACAGUUGGGGGCAUUAGUAUUUAAUUGUCAGAGGUGAUAUUCUUGGAUUUAUGAAAGACUAACUACUGCGAAAGCAUUUGCC
rnacentral:rRNA from 1 species